AUUGAACGCUGGCGGCAGGCCUAACACAUGCAAGUCGAGCGGAUGAAGGGAGCUUGCUCCUGGAUUCAGCGGCGGACGGGUGAGUAAUGCCUAGGAAUCUGCCUGGUAGUGGGGGAUAACGUCCGGAAACGGGCGCUAAUACCGCAUACGUCCUGAGGGAGAAAGUGGGGGAUCUUCGGACCUCACGCUAUCAGAUGAGCCUAGGUCGGAUUAGCUAGUUGGUGGGGUAAAGGCCUACCAAGGCGACGAUCCGUAACUGGUCUGAGAGGAUGAUCAGUCACACUGGAACUGAGACACGGUCCAGACUCCUACGGGAGGCAGCAGUGGGGAAUAUUGGACAAUGGGCGAAAGCCUGAUCCAGCCAUGCCGCGUGUGUGAGGAAGGUCUUCGGAUUGUAAAGCACUUUAAGUUGGGAGGAAGGGCAGUAAGUUAAUACCUUGCUGUUUUGACAUUACCAACAGAAUAAGCACCGGCUAACUUCGUG
rnacentral:rRNA from 1 species